rnacentral:rRNA from 1 species
UACGUAGGGUGCAAGCGUUGUCCGGAAUUAUUGGGCGUAAAGAGCUCGUAGGUGGCCUGUCGCGUCGGCUGUGAAAACUCGGGGCUCAACUCCGAGCUUGCAGUCGAUACGGGCAGGCUAGAGUUCGGCAGGGGAGACUGGAAUUCCUGGUGUAGCGGUGAAAUGCGCAGAUAUCAGGAGGAACACCAAUAGCGAAGGCAGCUCGCUGGGACGUUACUGACACUGAGGCGCGAAAGCGUGGGGAGCGAACAGG